rnacentral:lncRNA from 1 species
CCACUCUCCUGCCUGGGCUGCUGCUCAACGGGGGCUGGGGGUGUGUGGGGCGGGGGUGGUCUGUCCAGUGAUUCAGCCACAUGUGAUAGAUGACCAAGUGACUGCUUUCUUGGAGUCCGCACACCAGUGGAAGGCUCUCAAAGUGACUGUGACCGACUUGAUCAAACUCUAGGCUUCCUGAGCUGGAAUGAAAUGCAGAUAACUCUUUAGAAAACUUUUGUAGGAAAAGCGCCUCGUGUGAUCUGGAACAAAGACGUUUUAUAAUCAGAUUUAUCAAGCUGCGAAGAGGGAGUUUUAGUGAACGGAAGCAGCAGCAUUCUGUCACCAGGAAAUACUCCUUUAUCCAGAAUUGGUAAGUGAAAAGUGGCAUUGCUCCCUAAUAGAUAUCAUAUGUGUGUGUGGGAAUUGAAAAAUUGUUCACAGACCCCUAACAACUGUGUUGAACAGAGAACACAUAAACAGUGAGGAGUUCUAAAAAAGAGCAGCACAAGAAUACCGCAUAAAGACUGAGAAGAAGCCAGGUAAUUAACAAAAAUGAGCUGAGUGCUAUCAGUUUAGCUAAACAUAUGUAAUACAGCUAGAUUUGGUUGUUUUAUUUUUUCUUGUUAGUGGAGGAGAAACAUAAAAUCGGAAUGGGCUGUUUAGUAGAAUUGCGACAUUAACUUUCCAUGGAUGUAGAUUUCCAUUUAGUCUGAAUAGCAUGUAUGAAAUUUGAAGGGAUGCUUUCGGAAUUAGUCUUCUUGCCCUCCUUUCCUUUCCUCUGCAUUAAGAUGUCAAGUAUUUAGUUAGAACCUUACAAGAUGAAAGUUGUACAAAAUGAAAGUUCAAGUAAUGCGUUGGAAACACCUCCUCCUGAUUGGGAAGGGUAGAUUACAACGGCAAUAGAUUUUUGUUUUUUGUUUCUUACAUUUGUGUCACGAAUUUUAAGUUUAUUCUAUUUGAUUACAUUAGUACAGCAAAAGGGGGGUUAUUUCUAUCUAUAUGGUUCAUGACAUUUUGAGAGAUCGUGAUUAGUAGUUCUUACUGGUUUCGUAUGCAUGUUCCUGCCUGUUGAAUUCAGUUUUCUGAUCUUGAAUCUGAGCUGCCUUUACGUUAAAGGGUUCUAGAAAAAGACAAUAAAGCUUUGAAUACCUGUGUUAUAUACAACAGGUUCCUGUUCAUGAUGUAUAAGGUAACGCAAUUUUAUUUUAGGCAUGAAUGUCUAAUUUCUUGAUUUGGCUUCUUAAGAAUAUACCGAAAAGGUUGAAUAGAAUAAGAAAAAGAACAUUAGAAAAGAAUGGUGGGUGACUGCCUGAUUUUACUAGUUUCUUAUUGGUCAGUAGAAGUAAUCAUGUGAUGUCUACUUAUAGAAACAAAUGGAAAAAAUUUUUCUUCUUUAACUGCUAACAAUUAUAUAGGCAAUUUUAGCAAUCUUCAUUUAUUAAUUUGAAUAUAUAAUUAUAACUGUUAUUAACAGAAUAAGUUUUGGGUAAUAUAGGAAAUAAUUAUUUCUUUCUUUUUAAGCCAAAUUGGAAGUUGAAUCUACGUUUGGUUCCUAUUCUGUUACUUUCAAAAUCUUAAAAUCCUUAACUCAAAAGGGAAAAUGUAUAAUAAAACAGGAUAGCAGUGCUGAAAUUUCUCUCUCUUAGCAGUGGAGUGAGAUGAGGGUGGGGGAGGGAGAUGAAUCUAGUGAGAUAUAUUAAUUGUUUUUUCCCCCUCUUGUAUACUUGGAUAACUUUUGAGAUCAUUUUUCUCGGACUAGCAGCUCUCAAGACUU